rnacentral:rRNA from 1 species
GUGAGGAAUAUUGGGCAAUGCCCGAAAGGGUGACCCAGCAACGCCGCGUGGAGGAUGAAUGUCGUAAGAUUGUAAACUCCUGUUAGAGGGGAAGAAUAAUUCCGAUCGACUCGGAAAUUGACUGUACCCUCAGAGAAAGCCCCGGCUAACUACGUGCCAGCAGCCGCGGUAAUACGUAGGGGGCAAGCGUUGUCCGGAUUUACUGGGUGUAAAGGGCGCGCAGGUGGGUUGACAAGUCAGAGGUGAAAUCCUACAGCUUAACUGUAGAACUGCCUUUGAGACUGUCAAUCUUGAGUACGGAAGAGAGAGAUGGAAUUCCAGGUGUAGUGGUGAAAUACGUAGAUAUCUGGAAGAACACCAGUGGCGAAGGCGGUCUCUUGGUCCAAUACUGACACUAAGGCGCGAAAGCGUGGGGAGCAAACAGGAUUAGAAACCCCAGUAGUCC